ensembl:lncRNA
UCACCACCGCUUUCCAGCCUAGGCAGGAGUGAAAGACCCUGUCCUUAAAAGCAUUAAUUUUUAAAAAGCAACCAGACGUGGUGGCUCACACCUGUCAUCCCAGCACUUUGGGAGGCCGAGGUGCCGGGGGAACGCCUGAGGUCAGGAGUUCGAGGCCAGCCUGACCAACAGGGUGAAACCCCGUAUCUACAAAAAUUACUUGGGCAUGAUGGCGGGUGCUCGUCAUCCUAGCUACUUGGGAGGCUGAGGCGGGAGAAUCGCUUGAACCCGGGAGGCGGAGGUUGCGGUGAGCCGGCAUCGUGCCACUGCAGUCCAGCCUGGGCGACAGAGCGAGACUCCAUCUGAAAAAAAUAAGUAAAAAUAAAAUAAAAAGCGAGAACGGGGAGGGAAGAGUAGAGAGGAAGAUCCCGGAGCUUCCUUGGGGGGUGAGGAAGGUGGGAGCCACGACGGUUGUAGAGGGAGAGCAGCUCCUCCCUUCACCCACCUGAGCCCGGGUCUCCUGUGUGGCCACAGCCUCUGCAGCCCACAGGGCCCCACGUUGUGAGGUUCACACACCUGCAGCUGCUCAGAAGUGCAAACUCACCCCCUGCAUGACGUGCUCUGGAUAUCAGUCGGCCUUCGCACCGCAGCCCUGGGUGGUUGAUCGAACGCUAAAGCUCCAGACCUGGAGAUGCCCCAGAGGAAGUGCCUGGCAGCAAUUAACCAUCCGAGCACCCCAGGUGGCGUGGACUCACGCGGCUCUUCAGCCAAAUACCUGCUUCUGGAGUUGCCCUGACUGACCGUCUGAAAUUCAUGAUAAAAAAUGGAUGAAGGCCUGGUUUUCACAUUGUGGCCGAUGAAUGCUGUCCCAGUCUUGUUCUCCUGUCCGUUUACCGCGACACAGCCCACAGGCCACAGGGCAUCGGCGUCUUGUGAGGGGUUACAGGGAACGUCUAAGGGAGACACAGGCUGGCCCAGCUGCCUCCCACCCUUCCUGGCCGGGCGUCCUGAGCCAACCGCCUCAGUGGGAGAAAAUCUUCACUCUGAAAACUCUCAGAGCCGCCACCUGCUCCCCGCUCCCGUCUGCCCUGGUUCUCGGGCCCCGGAGCCCGCCCUGUCCAGACCUCCCAGGCCCUGUGGGGAAUCCCGAUAAACGGGGACGGCGUUCACGGCAGGUCCCUCCCCUGCCUCAUGUAUUUCGCCACCUGGAUAAAAUGAGUGUUUUCACAGCUGCCGUUCAUUUUUAGUUUUUGACCCCGAGGAAGGAACGAAGCAGUUCGAGGCACCUGCGGCCGGGUUGGGGCGAGGCAGCGGGAUUUCGGGACGGGGACGGCGGGGAGGUUCCGGGGGAGCCACACCACGUAGGUGGCGGCCGGCUCCAGCCUGGAGGCCGCGACGUUGCUGAAAGAUUUAUCACCUGCUCAGCCUCGGAGACGGGGAAGAAAAACACAGACUGGAAAUGGUUCUGGCUGACGGACGGACCCCCGGGGAACCGUCCCCAACCGUACCCCUUUUCUUUCUCCGUUCGGUGACUGCCCGGGCUGAGCUGGGCCUCGUGGAUGCUUGAUGAGUGUCCACGGAGCCCGGGAUGCUGUGCCGGGUGCCGCGUGGGUGAGGGGGUGACUGUGAGGUUCCCUCGUCUCUAGUGGAGAGAUCGGGGGAGUAGACAAAGAAAAUAGUAUCGAACUGCUGCCUGUGAUGAGGGUUUGCUAGUCUCGCUCUGUCCCCCAGGCUGGAGUGCGGUGGUGCGAUCUCAGCUCACUGCAGCCUCCGCCUCCCGGGUUCAAGUGAUUCUCCUGACUCAGCCUCCCGAGUAGCUGGGACGACACGCACCUGCCACCACGCCCGGCUC